GGCUUUGUAGCGUUUCCAGUCA
rnacentral:sRNA from 1 species